rnacentral:rRNA from 1 species
AGCGAACGCUAGCGGCGGGCUUAACACAUGCAAGUCGAGCGGAGGGGCAACCCUUAGCGGCGGACGGGUGAGUAACACGUAGGUAACGUAUCCUCUGGUGGGGAAUAACCGUGGGAAAACCAUGGCUAAUACCGCAUAUCGUAUGAAAGUAUGAAAGCCUUCGGGCGCCAGUUGAGCGGCCUGCGGCCCAUUAGUUAGUUGGCGGGGUAACGGCCCACCAAGACGAUGAUGGGUAGCUGGUCUGAGAGGAUGAUCAGCCACACUGGAACUGAGACACGGUCCAGACUCCUACGGGAGCAGCAGUGGGGAAUAUCGCGCAAUGGGCGAAAGCCUGACGCAGGCCCACGCCGCGUGAGUGAUGAAGGCCUUCGGGU